CCCUUAGAUGUUCUGGGCCGCACGCGUGCUACACUGAGUGGAUCAGCGGGUCAGGUUGCGCGAAAGCGUUUCCUAAUCUUUAAAUCCGCUCGUGAUGGGGAUUGACGGUCGCAAUUUUCUGUCAUGAACGAGGAAUACCUUGUAAGCGCGGGUCAUCAUCCCGCGCUGAAUACGUCCCUGCCCUUUGUACACACCGCCCGUCGCUACUACCGAUUGGAUGGUUUAGUGAGAUCCUCGGAUUGGUCCCGGAGCGGCCUCUGGUCGUGCCGGAGUGCCGAAAAGAAUGUCGAACUUGAUCAUCUAGAGGAAGUAAAAGUCGUAACA
rnacentral:rRNA from 1 species